AAUCUUCCACAAUGGACGGAAGUCUGAUGGAGCAAUGCCGCGUUAACGAAGAAGGUUUUCGGAUCGUAAAGUUCUUUUGUGAGGGAAGAACAAGUACGAGAGUAACUGCUCGUACCUUGACGGUACCUCAUUAGAAAGCCACUGCUAACUACGUGCCAGCGGCCGCGGUAAUACGUAGGUGGCAAGCUUUGUCCGGAAUUAUUGGGCGUAAAGCGCGCGCAGGCGGCCUUGUAAGUCUGAUGUGAAAGCCCACGGCUCAACCGUGGAAGGUCAUUGGAAACUGGAAGGCUUGAGUACAGAAGAGGAAAGCGGAAUUCCACGUGUAGCGGUGAAAUGCGUAGAGAUGUGGAGGAACACCAGUGGCGAAGGCGGCUUUCUGGUCUGUAACUGACGCUGAGGCGCGAAAGCGUGGGGAGCAAACA
rnacentral:rRNA from 1 species